rnacentral:rRNA from 1 species
CGUACUAGGGAAUGAAACGGCUGGCGGCGUGCUUAACACAUGCAAGUCGACGAGUCAUCAUUUUGAGCAUUAGCUUGCUAAGAGUGGAAUGUUGAUGACUUAGUGGCGGACGGGUGAGUAACGACGUGGGUAACCUGCCAUAUACAGGGGGAUAACACUUAGAAUAGGUGCUAAUACGCAUAAGCGCACAGUAUUGCAUGAGACAGUGUGAAAACUACGGUGGUAUAUGAUGGACCCGCGUCUGAUUAGCUGGUUGUGGGGUAACGGCCACCAAGGCGACGAUCAGUAGCCGGCCUGAGAGGGUGGACGGCCGCAUUGGGACUGAGACACGGCCCAAACUCCUACGGGAGGCAGCAGUGGGGAAUAUUGGACAAUGGGGGAAACCCUGAUCCAGCGACGCCGCGUGAGUGAAGAAGUAUUUCGGUAUGUAAAGCUCUAUCAGCAGGGAAGAAAAAAUGACGGUACCUGACUAAGAAGCCCCGGCUAACUACGUG